AGAUACCCAAAGCUGAGUUCAGCCCACUGUAAAGCAAGAAAACUGAGCUCAACUCACUGUUAAGACAGCCAAGGUUGAGCUCAAGCUAGUCUUAGACUACCAAACUUGAGCUCAACCCACUCUUAAGAUACCCAAGGUUGAGGUCAAACUGUGAUUGAGACACCCAAGGUUGAGCUCAAACUCUUGUUAGACUACCAAAGUUGAGCUCAAUCCACUCUUAAGAUACCCAAGGUUGAGCUCAAGCUGUGAUGAGGAUACCCAAAGCUGAGUUCAGCCCACUGUAAGGCAAGAAAGCUGAGCUCAACCUGCUGUUAAGAUACCCAAGGUUGAGCUCAAACUGCUUUUAAGACACCCAAGGUUGAGCUCAAACUGUUCUUAGACUGCCAAAGCUGAGCUCAACCCACUCUUAAGAUACCCAAGGUUGAGCUCAAACUGUUCUUAGACUACCAAAGUUCAGCUCAACCCAUUAAGAUACCCAAGGUUGAACUCAAGCUGUGAUGAAGAUACCCAAAGCUGAGUUCAGCCCACUGUAAGGCGACAAAACUGAGCUGAACCUGCUGUUAAGACACCCAAGGUUGAGCUCAAACUGUUCUUAGACUACCAAAGUUCAGCUCAACCCAUUGUUAAGACACCCAAGGUUGAGCUCAAACUGCUUUUAAGACACCCGAACUGAGCUCAACCUACAGUUAGGCAAGGAAGCUGAGCUUAAGCCACUGUUAAGACACCCAAGGCUGAGCUGCCCAUCCCAAGAGUCGCUCUCCCAAAGAGAAGAGCAGCUCCAGAGGGGAAUUCCUUACAUCCACACUUGGACAGACCCAAGCUCAACUGCUGCUGCCUGGUUCCCACUGGGACAAGCUGUCCCAGAGCCUGGCACCCCAUAUGGGGACAUAAAUCCCAGCAUCUGUGUUAAAACUGGUUCUUAAGAAGGGAAAAACCAGCUCCAGGGACCCCAGGUUCGCCCAAAUCCUUCCCAAAGAAAGGGAAAACUAGGAAAAACGAGUGGAUUCAUGGAUUUGAGCUGCAACAGAGCAACUCCAUGUGAUUCCCCCCCCCUUAGACUUGGGGUGUUUGGAGCAUCCAGAUGGAAGAACAUCAGCUCAAACCCCAAAGCUGACCUCGACCCUGAUA